GAUGAACGCUGGCGGCGUGCCUAAUACAUGCAAGUCGAGCGAACGGACGAGAAGCUUGCUUCUCUGAUGUUGGCGGCGGACGGGUGAGUAACACGUGGAUAACCUACCUAUAAGACUGGGAUAACUUCGGGAAACCGGAGCUAAUACCGGAUAAUAUUUUGAACCGCAUGGUUCAAAAGUGAAAGACGGUCUUGCUGUCACUUAUAGAUGGAUCCGCGCUGCAUUAGCUAGUUGGUAAGGUAACGGCUUACCAAGGCAACGAUGCAUAGCCGACCUGAGAGGGUGAUCGACCACACUGGAACUGAGACACGGUCCAGACUCCUACGGGAGGCAGCAGUAGGGAAUCUUCCGCAAUGGGCGAAAGCCUGACGGAGCAACGCCGCGUGAGUGAUGAAGGUCUUCGGAUCGUAAAACUCUGUUAUUAGGGAAGAACAUAUGUGUAAGUAACUGUGCACAUCUUGACGGUACCUAAUCAGAAAGCCACGGCUAACUACGUG
rnacentral:rRNA from 1 species